CAAUACUAGAGGAGGCUGGAUUCCACAUCUCUGAAGUCCCACCGGACUGGUGCGAUGGGGCUCACGAGUCCAGGGCUGCUCUGCAGGCUGUGGGGCUCACCUCCAGCUCGGAGCCCACCUGGUGUGCUCAAGUUGCUCACCUUUGGGCCUGUCCUGCCUCUCAGGCAUUCAGCUGACCCCGAGGGACUCUCCCUCAUCUUGACCACCAGUUACGGGCUCUAAGUUAGAGGUUCCCAGAACCUUAGACCAUUUGGCCAAACCCUCCAUUUCUCAGCUGGGGAAACUGAAACCAAAGAGGAGAAGCAACUUUCUCAAGGACCCCCAGCAAGUCAGAGGCAGAACUGGGUCUAGCAGCCUCCUCCCGACAGAGGGCCUCCCUGACCCCUGAGCCUUUACUGCCUCGUUAACUUCCCUAUAAGGAGACUGCUCUGCCGAGGCUGGAAAUGGAAAUGCUCUCCGUGGCGGUGUGUGCCCGUGACUGCGCCCGUGUUUGUACUUAGCCGAAGCUGGACUGUACUGCUGCCAUCUCGGCUCACUGCAACCUCCCUGCCUGAUUCUCCUGCCUCAGCCUGCUGAGUGCCUGCAAUUGCAGGCGCGCGCCGCCACGCCUGACUGGUUUUCGUAUUUUUUGGGUGGAGACGGGGUUUCGUUGUGUUGGCCGGGCUGGUCUCCAGCUCCUGACCGCGAGUGAUCCGCCAGCCUCGGCCUCCCGAGGUGCCGGGAUUGCAGACGGAGUCUCCUUCACUCAGUGCUCAAUGGUGCCCAGGCUGGAGUGCAGUGGCAUGAUCUCGGCUCGCUACAACAUCCACCUCCCAGCAGCCUGCCUUGGCCUCCCAAAGUGCCGAGAUUGCAGCCUCUGCCCGGCCGCCACCCCGUCUGGGAAGUGAGGAGCAUCUCUGCCUGGCCGCCCAUCGUCUGGGAUGUGAGGAGCCCCUCUGCCUGGCUGCCCAGUCUGGAAAGUGAGGAGCGUCUCUGCCAGGCCGCCAUCCCAUCUAGGAAGUGAGGAGCGUCUCUGCCCGGCCACCCAUCAUCUGAGAUGUGGGGAGCGCCUCUGCCCUGUCGCCCCGUCCGGGAUGUGAGGAGCGUCUCUGCCCGGCCGCCCCGUCUGAGAAGUGAGGAGACCCUCUGCCUGGCAACCGCCCUGUCUGAGAAGUGAGGAGCCCCUCCGCCCAGCAGCCGCCCCGUCUGAGAAGUGAGGAGCCCCUCCGCCCGGCAGCCACCCCGUCUGGGAAGUGAGGAGCGUCUCCGCCCGGCAGCCACCCCGUCCAGGAGGGAGGUGGGGGGGUCAGCCCCCCGCCCGGCCAGCCGCCCCGUCCGGGAGGGAGGUGGGGGGAUCAGCCCCCCGCCCGGCCAGCCGCCCCCUCCGGGAGGUGAGGGGCGCCUCUGCCCGGCCACCCCUACUGGGAAGUGAGCCCCUCUGCCUGGCCAGCCGCCCCGUCCGGGAGGGAGAUGGGGGGGUCAGCCCCCCGCCCGGCCAGUCGCCCCGUCCGGGAGGUGAGGGGUGCCUCUGCCCGGCCGCCCCUACUGGGAAGUGAGGAGCCCCUCUGCCCGGCCACCACCCCGUCUGGGAGGUGUACCCAACAGCUCAUUGAGAACGGGCCGGGAUGACAAUGGCGGUUUUGUGGAAUAGAAAGGGGGGAAAGGUGGGGAAAAGAUUGAGAAAUCGGAUGGUUGCUGUGUCUGUGUAGAAAGAGGUAGACAUGGGAGACUUUUCAUUUUGUUCUGUACUAAGAAAAAUUCUUCUGCCUUGGGAUCCUGUUGAUCGGUGACCUUACCCCCAACCCUGUGCUCUCUGAAACAUGUGCUAUGUCCACUCAGGGUUAAAUGGAUUAAGGGCGGUGCAAGAUGUGCUUUGUUAAACAGACGCUUGAAGGCAGCAUGCUCGUUAAGAGUCAUCACCACUCCCUAAUCUCAAGUACCCAGGGACACAAACACUGCGGAAGGCCGCAGGGUCCUCUGCCUAGGAAAACCAGAGACCUUUGUUCACUUGUUUAUCUGCUGACCUUCCCUCCACUAUUGUCCUGUGGCCCUGCCAAAUCCCCCUCUGCGAGAAACACCCAAGAAUGAUCAAUAAAAAAAAAAAAAUAAAUAAAUAAAUAAAUCAUAUCAAAGUAAAAAGUUUCCAAAAAAAAUAAAAAGUUUCAAAAAAAAAGAAAGCAUGUUUGAGAUCUAGAACAGAAUAAUGGGUAGUAGAGGGAGGUAUUGAGGAUAGGAGAGUAUAUGGGUUUGGCACCACGGGGUGGAUAGGCAAAACAAUUUGGUUGAUAAGGCGCAGAUCCUGAACUAAUCUGUAAGACUUGUUCUGUUUUUGGACAGGUAAAAUUGGGGAAUUGUAAGGAGAGUUUAUAGGUUUUAGAAGCCUAUGCUGUAGCAGGCGAGUGAUAACAGGCUUUAAUCCUUUUAAAGUGUGCUGUGGGAUGGGAUAUUGGCAUUGAGUGGGGUAAGGGUGAUUAGGUUUUAAAGAGAUGGUAAGGGGUGCAUGAUCGGUCACCAAGGAGGGAGUAGGGGUAUCUUAUAGUUGUGGGUUAAGGUCGGGGAAUACAAGAGGAGGACGCAAAGAAGGCUUUGGAUUGGGAAGAAAGGUGGCAAUGAGAUGUAGCUGUAAUCCCGGAAUAGUCAGGGAAGCAGAUAAUUUAGUUAAAGUGUCUCGGCCUAAUAAGGGAACUGGGCAGGUGGGGAUAACUAAAAGGAGUGCUUAAAAGAGUAUUGUCUCAGCUGGCACCAGAGUUGGGGAGUUUUAAGAGGUUUAGAAGCCUGGCCGUCAAUACCCACAACAGUUAUGGAAGCAAGGGAAACAGGCCCUUGAAAAGAAGGUAAUGUGGAGUGGGUAGCUUCCAUAUUGAUUAAGAAGGGGAUGGACUUACCUUCCACUGUGAGUUACUGGAAGCUCGGCACCUGUGAUGGUCUAGGGGGCUUCCGAGGUGAUUGGGCAGCGUCAGUCUUCAGCCGCUAAGCCGAGAAGAUCUGGGAAGGAGUCAGAGAGCCUUGGGCCAGAGUUCCAGGGGCUGUGGGAGUGGCUGCCAGGUGAGUUGAACAGUCCAAUUUUCAGUGGGGUCCUGCACAGAUGGGACGCGGCUUAGGAGGAAUCCCAGGCUGCGGGCAUUCCUUGGCCCAGUGGCCAGAUUUCCGGCAUGUGUAGCAAGCUCCUGGGGGAGGAGGUUCUGGAGGAACGCCUGGCUGCUGCAGUUCAGGCAUUUGGAAGUUCUUGUGUGCUGGAGAUGUGGCUGGGGUUUGUCUCACAGUGGAGGCAAGGAAUUGCAACUUUUUUCUAUUAUUGUACACCUUGAAGGCGAGGUUAAUUAAAUCCUGUUGUGGGGUUUGAGGGCCGGAAUUUAAUUUUUGGAGUUUAUUUAAUGUCGGGAGCAGAUUGGGUAAUAAAAUGUAUAUUGAGAAUAAGACGGCCUUUUGACCUUUUAGGGUCUAGGGCUGUAAAGCGUCUCAGGGUUGCUGCUGAAUGAGCCAUGAACUGG
rnacentral:lncRNA from 1 species